rnacentral:rRNA from 1 species
UUUAACGGCCGCGGUACCCUAACCGUGCGAAGGUAGCAUAAUCACUUGUUCUUUAAAUAGGGACUAGUAUCAACGGCAUCACGAGGGUUACACUGUCUCCUUUCUCCAAUCAGUGAAACUGAUCUCCCCGUGAAGAAGCGGGGAUAAAACUAUUAGACGAGAAGACCCCAUGGAGCUUUAAGCUCAACAACAACUCUUAUGAAAAUAAUUCCCCAUAGUAUACGAACCCUGUUUGUUAGCUUUAGGUUGGGGUGACCGCGGAGUAUAAUUCAACCUCCACGGCGAAAGGGUAUAAAACCCUAAUCCAAGAGCCACUGCUCUAAGAAUCUUUAAAUUGACGUACAAUGAUCCGAUUUUCGAUCAACGAACCAAGUUACCCUGGGGAUAACAGCGCAAUCCAUUUCUAGAGCCCCUAUCGACAAAUGGGUUUACGACCUCGAUGUUGGAUCAGGGU